rnacentral:rRNA from 1 species
UCAGGAUGAACGCUAGCGGCAGGCCUAACACAUGCAAGUCGCGGGGCAGGCACGGGUAGCAAUACCUGGUGGCGACCGGCGCACGGGUGCGUAACGCGUAUGCAACCUGCCCCCAUCAGGGGAAUAGCCCGCCGAAAGGCGGAUUAAUGCCCCAUAGGCCCAGGGCGCCGCAUGGCGCUAUGGGUAAAGCUCCGGCGGAUGGGGAUGGGCAUGCGUGCCAUUAGCUAGUUGGGGCGGUAACGGCGCACCAAGGCGACGAUGGCUAGGGGGUCUGAGAGGAUGGUCCCCCACACUGGUACUGAGACACGGACCAGACUCCUACGGGAGGCAGCAGUGAGGAAUAUUGGUCAAUGGGCGGAAGCCUGAACCAGCCCAUGCCGCGUGCAGGAUGACGGCCCUACGGGUUGUAAACUGCUUUUCCCCGGGAAGAAUAAGCCCCUCGUGAGGGGUGGUGCCGGUACCGGGGGAAUAAGGAUCGGCUAACUCCGUGCCAGCCGCCGC